UUGGCGAGGUAACGGCUCACCAAGGCAACGACGGGUAGCUGGUCUGAGAGGAUGGCCAGCCACAUUGGGACUGAGAUACGGCCCAGACUCCUACGGGAGGCAGCAGUGGGGAAUCUUGCGCAAUGGCCUAACGGCUGACGCAGCGACGCCGCGUGUGGGAUGAAGCUCUUCGGAGUGUAAACCACUGUUGCCCGGGACGAACAGCUCGAUUUCUCGAGCCUGACGGUACCGGGUGAGGAAGCACCGGCUAACUCCGUGCCAGCAGCCGCGGUAAUACGGGGGGUGCGAGCGUUGUCCGGAAUCACUGGGCGUAAAGGGCGCGUAGGUGGUUUGAUAAGGGUGUGGUGAAAGUCCGGGGCUCAACCCCGGAUCUGCCGUGCCGACUGUCAGACUCGAGGGCUGUAGAGGCAGACGGAAUUCCGGGUGUAGCGGUGGAAUGCGUAGAGAUCCGGAGGAAGACCGGUGGCGAAGGCGGUCUGCUGGGCAGUUUCUGACACUGAUGCGCGACAGCGUGGGGAGCAAACAGGAUUAGAUACCCUGGUAGU
rnacentral:rRNA from 1 species